UCAUGAUGAUGAUGAUGAUGAUGAUGAUGAUGAUGAUGAUGAUGAUCAGCAUCGUCAUCAUUGUCGUCGUCGUCCUCAUCAUCCUUG
rnacentral:pre_miRNA from 1 species